UACAGAGGGUGCAAGCGUUGUUCGGAAUUACUGGGCGUAAAGGGCGUGUAGGCGGUUUAGCAAGUCAGAUGUGAAAUCCCAGGGCUUAACUCUGGAAGUGCAUUUGAAACUGCUAGGCUAGAGUGCAGUAGAGGAUGGCGGAAUACCCAGUGGAGAGGUGAAAUUCGUAGAUAUUGGGUGGAACACCGGUGGCGAAGGCGGCCAUCUGGGCUGUAACUGACGCUGAGACGCGAAAGCGUGGGGAGCAAACAGG
rnacentral:rRNA from 1 species